rnacentral:rRNA from 1 species
UAGUUAAUAUCUUGAAACUCAUAGAAUUUGGCGGUAUUUUAAUCUAUUUAGAGGAACCUGUUCCGUAAUUGAUAGUUCACGAGUUAGGUUACUUAAUUUUAUGGGUUUGUAUACCGCCGUCAUCAGAAUAUUUUAUUAGAAUAUUUUCUUAAAAUUGAAUUAAAUUGUAUGUCAGGUCAAGGUGCAGUUUAUAAUUAAGUGGAGAUGGGUUACAAUAAAAUUAUUUAUAACGGAGUUUUAUUUUGGUAAAAUGGGGAAGGUGGAUUUAAUAGUAAUUGUAUAUAAAUUUUUAUGGUGACUUUAGCUCUAAAAUAUGUACAUAUCGCCCGUCACUCUCAUUAUUAAAUGAGAUAAGUCRUAACAGAGUAGGUGUACUGGAAAGUGUAUCUGGAAUGU